AUUCAGGGGGCGUGUGUGAAUUUGCAUGGAAAUGCUCUUCAAUCCCCCAAUCAGAUGUUUGCUUGCAUUCACAGGCUUCUGUGAUGAGCAUGUGGGUAAAGACAUAAGCAAACGAAUUAAUAGACCGAGAUACUUCCCUGCAGUUAUUAAAGUGAGCCCGCUCUUAGCUGCAUCCAUGGGUCAAACUGGACGUGGCAUUUCGCAGGACCCCAGAGGCUGAAAGAGACCUAUAGGCCCCAACACAGCCCUGCUGCUCUCCUUAUGCCUCCUAAAGCCCACUUCCAGCUUGGCUGAGGACGUCAAGGCAGGAGAAGACCCCAUCUGCAGUGUGAACCUCACUAGAGGAGGACACAGUCCUGGGAGGAUCUUCCACUGCUGCCGGUGGACACGCCUAAACUAAUCCCCCCUGAGUUGGACAUCUCAGCAAGUUUAGCCUGACUUUGGAAACGAUUAAAGAAUUAAAAACGAAUGGAACACGCAAUAUCGAAUUUCCACCUGCGACCACAGGGUGAAAUGGAGCUGAGCCUUACUUUUUAAAUUGCACUUUAAAGAUGUAGAGUAAAUAAAGGGUGACUUAAUUUGUGCGGAAUAUGAUGUCAUGCCAUUGUCCGCAGCUGAAAGAUUUGCACUGAUUCUUUUGUGAUUUCGUCUGAGGUUCUGCAUGCACACUUAGAUCUAAUCAGAGGACCAAAAUGGAUGCAAGUGAUAGCUCACUGAAAGAAUAUUUAUUGCACAGACGUGUACAAUUAGUUUGACAAGGCUGUGGGGAAGGAAGGAGGAAUUCCAGAUCUUUGGAGUGUUGGUUGAGUCAGAAGCAUUUAAUAUUGCUUUUCUUAUAAUUAACAUAAAUUUGGUACAUCAGAAUGCUAAUUUUGAAACAACCAUUAGACAUACAAUCCACACAUGCUAAACUUUAACCACACACAAAUAUCGUCAAAGCAUAAUAGGAAUAAUGGAACCCACACACAGAAGCCUUUUUCCAUACUAUAAGGCAUUUGUAUGUGUUUAGCUAUUGUGCACGGUAAUCCAUAUCCAUGGCAACAGAGAGGUUAUGGGAUAUAUGUGGCCAUGACUUCUGAAGUCAAAAUAAUAGGCCAGGUGCAUUGGCCGGAUGGACUGAACAGACCCCCCAGACUCAACAGCACCCUGG